rnacentral:tRNA from 1 species
UGUAUAAUGUCUGAUUAAAGGAUUUCUCUGAUAAGGAAAAGCAAGUGUUUUUCUUAAACACUUAUACAA